rnacentral:rRNA from 1 species
GACGAACGCUUGCGGCGCGCCCAACACAUGCAAGUCGAGCGAUGAACAUUGAAUGAUCCCUUCGGGGUGAUUUCGAUCGGAUUAGCGGCGAGCGGGUAAGUAACGCGUGAGGAACCUGCCUCUUACAACGGGAUCGCCUCGGGAAACCGGGAUUAAUACCGUAUAAGACUCCGACAUCGCCUGAUGAGGAAGUCAAAGCGUUAGCGGUAAGAGAUGGCCUCGCGUCUGAUUAGCUUGUUGGCGGGGUAACGGCCCACCAAGGCGACGAUCAGUAACCAGCCUGAGAGGGUGAACGGUCACAUUGGAACUGAGACACGGUCCAAACUCCUACGGGAGGCAGCAGUGGGGAAUCUUGCACAAUGGGGGCAACCCUGAUGCAGCGACGCCGCGUGAGCGAUGAAGGUUUUCGAAUCGUAAAGCUCUGUCCUAUGGGAAGAUAAUGACGGUACCAUGGGAGGAAGCCCCGGCUAACUACGUGCCAGCAGCCGCCGUAA